CUGGCGGCGUGCCUAAUACAUGCAAGUCGAACGCACUCUCGUUUAGAUUGAAGGAGCUUGCUCCUGAUUGAUAAACAUUUGAGUGAGUGGCGGACGGGUGAGUAACACGUGGGUAACCUGCCCUAAAGUGGGGAUAACAUUUGGAAACAGAUGCUAAUACCGCAUAAAACCUAACACCGCAUGGUGUAGGGUUGAAAGAUGGUUUCGGCUAUCACUUUAGGAUGGACCCGCGGUGCAUUAGUUAGUUGGUGAGGUAAAGGCUCACCAAGACCGUGAUGCAUAGCCGACCUGAGAGGUAAUCGGCCACACUGGGGCUGAGACACGGCCCAGACUCCUACGGGAGGCAGCAGUAGGGAAUCUUCCACAAUGGACGAAAGUCUGAUGGAGCAACGCCGCGUGAGUGAAGAAGGUUUUCGGAUCGUAAAACUCUGUUGUUGGAGAAGAAUGUAUCUGAUAGUAACUGAUCAGGUAGUGACGGUAUCCAACCAGAAAGCCACGGCUAACUACGUG
rnacentral:rRNA from 1 species